CCUCACCCGCACCCGGGCUCGCUCCGUCCCCGCACCGCCGAACCGAGUUCGCACUCGCGCUAUAUGUAAGACAAACACGAGCAGCUCCCCGAAAACGAGGAAGAACCGUAAGAACCGGGCGCCCCCACAACCGCAUCCCCAGCGCUUUUCUUUGAGGCUUUCAGAAACUUGGUCCGGCAGCGCAGCGCAGACACGCGAACUGGUUUAACCCUUGCGUGCAUUUAUUACCAGUGACCCGCUCAAGCGAGCUCACCCUAGGCAAAGGGUAGAACUCAUCUGAGCAUGUCUCAUUAGGGAAGCUCGUUUACAUCCCAGUGAGUCGAUUAAAUUGAUGCGUUACCCGGCGAUAAGCAGGGGGUAGGAAGGCAGAGUCUCCCUGGUCCCAGCGCUGCCUGCACGUGCUGCCCCAGAGCAUUCCCAGCGCAGCCCCGGGAACGUCAAACUCCGCUCCUGCCAGGCCGGGGCUGGAGCCGCCGAGUUAAGGAACAAUCCACCUCCUCAUCUAUGUUAUGUUCUUGCACUAGAUAAUUCCAGUUCUAAAGUAAACCCCACCUUCCUGAAGUUAUGCUUAUUUCCAUUUUAAAAUGUGAGAAAGUUGUGUUUUGAUUGAAUUCAAGUGCCCCUCCACUUUUAAAGCAACAUACUGUAGUUUUGUACUGAUAUAUGAGAAUUGGUAGACAGAACUUGUUCUUUAUCCCAUACUACUUCUGGGAAAUAGAACUUUAAGAAAUAGGACAUAGAUAUAACAAAAAAAAAUUAGGGAAACCUAAGUUUGCUUAGCAAUUUUAGAAAUCUGAUCUCUGUAAUAGAAACAAAAGCCAUUUUUUUAAUCUCAUCACCUCUUUAAUAAUAAUACCAUCCUGAACCUUGAGCAACUACUAGACACUGGAUGAAAUAUUACUACAUGCAGUUGUUAGCAGCAGUUUCAAGCCAACUAUUUGCAUGUGUCUUCCGUGUAGGUCUCCCAAACUGUUUAACUUGCAAGCAACUUGGCUUCAUAACCUCUCUGGGACCAGAAAUUCCAUCUGUUUCGCAAAUGGGUAAUGCAGUGGAAGACAGCUGCUAAGGAGAAUGAGACUUGGUUUUUUUAGGAAGGCACUUUCAGUUUACGGUGCAGAAUACCAAGAGAUGAGAUACUACUGCAUUUGAUAUUGUGUUCCUGUUACUAUUCAACAGAACGUGGGAAACCCAGGCUGCUGUGAUAUAAUUGGCAUUUUCUUCUCACCCCACCCAGUGAAAUCCCCAAAUCUUCCGUAAGGGCAACCUGAGAAACACAGCCAAAUGGAAAGUGGUUUUCUCAAAUCACUUAAGAGUAGAAGCAGAUUCAACAACAACUAGCACUACUUCCAUUGGAAUAAACCAUGCCCAAAAUGCCAACCUUUGACCUAGUGAUCAGGUCUCAGAGAUGGAAGAUGGCCAAAAUCCACACUUUUGAAGAGAGUUCAUAUCUUGAUACUUGUCCUCAAGAUCUAAGAUUUGUGCGAGGACCCCAGAAGAUGUGAUGGUCACGUUGCACUGUCAGAGGCCACCAGGACUCUCUGCUCCAGCCAAGAAACCAUGAAAGCAGAUAUUGUCUGAUAGAGCAGAUGAUAAAAGCUGACUGAUAUAGAUGUUAGUUACUGGAAGAAGGUUGCAAGAUGUAUUUUACCGAAGACAAAAGUAAAAUUUACCUUCCUUUAAAGAAAGAUAACAAAUAAGAAACCAUUGCAGAGAUCUGCAUAAGAUGUGUGUCAGUUUCCAUAAAACUAAUUAUUUUUAUGAGCAAACUUUCUUUAAAAAUCUAAAUGCAUUUUUGAAGAUUCAAACAUUCAUGAGAAGUUUAGAGACUGUUUCAAACCAUCUGUUAUUUGUCAAAGUUAUUCUUUUAAAAUAAUGAAGAUACUGAAAUGUAAAAUAGAUGCAAAAGCCCCUAAAAUUGUCAGCUUUUAUCACUCAAAAAUAACAGGCACGCUGAUUACUUAAAAAUGUGUUAAAUUUAAUGUUAAAUUUAUUCCUGAACCUGUUGAGUUUCCAAUAUAUGCUCUGAUCAUAGGCUUGACUAUGUCUUCCCACCC